rnacentral:rRNA from 1 species
CCUACGGGAGGCUGCAGUGAGGAAUAUUGGUCAAUGGGCGAGAGCCUGAACCAGCCAAGUCGCGUGAGGGCGUACUGCCCUAUGGGUUGUACACUUCUUUUGUCGGGGAGCAAAAGCCGGACGUGUCCGGCUGUGAGAGUACUCGAAGAAAAAGCAUGGCCGAACUCCGUGCUACCAGCCGCGGUAAUACGGGGGAUGCGAGCGUCAUCCGGAUUUUUUGGGUUGAAAGGGUGCGGAGGCGGAUUUUUAUGUCGGCGGUCAAAUCGUGGGGCUAAACCCCAUCCAGCAGUUGAAACUGGGGACCUAGAGUGUGCGGAGGGUAUGCGGAAUGCGUGGUGUAGCGGUGAAAUGCAUAGAUAUCACGCAGAACCCCGAUCGCGAAGGCAGCAUACCGGUGCACAACUGACGCUCAGGCACGAAAGCGUGGGUAUCGAACAGGAUUAGAUACCCCGGUAGUC